rnacentral:rRNA from 1 species
GACGAACCGUGCGAACGUUGUUCGGAAUCACUGGGCUUAAAGGGCGCGUAGGCGGGCUGUCAAGUCCGGGGUGAAAUCCUCCAGCUCAACUGGAGAAUGGCCUCGGACACUGAUGGUCUCGAGGAGGAUAGGGGCACACGGAACUGUGGGUGGAGCGGUGAAAUGCGUUGAUAUCCACAGGAACUCCGGUGGCGAAAGCGGUGUGCUGGAUCCUUUCUGACGCUGAUGCGCGAAAGCCAGGGGAGCAAACGGG